AAUCUUGUUGGUGACCAUUAUCUUCUCAGGUAAAAAAUUAAUCAUGUGUUAAUUAGACCGAGUAGGUCCAAGGGGGAUAUGGGUUAAUGUGUUAGUAAUCAUGUAAAUUAGACCUUGAAUAUACACCCCCUAACCUUCUAAAUAAUCGACCCAUAACCCAUAGCCCUUCUAAAGACACGAUGUGAUUUAUUCACAUUGCUCUAAAUGUCAAAGUGAAUAAAUUCAACCAAGUGUGGGUAAACGACAAGAAUAACUAUGACUCUCUUAAGGUAGCCAGAUGUCUUGUUAUAUAAUUAGUGAUGUGAAUGAAUGGAGUAAUGAUAUUCCCAUUGUCCCUAGAUACUAUCUAGAGAAACCACAUCCAAGGGAAUGGGCUUGGAAUAAUUAGCAGGUAAAGAAGACCCUAUUGAGCUUGACUCUAGUCCUAACCCAUUCAUAGUUUGGGA
rnacentral:ncRNA from 1 species